rnacentral:ncRNA from 1 species
UAGAAAACAUGAUAAUCAGCCUAUUUGAUCUCUUUACGCAAAAAAUUAAGGGACCAAAGUGACACUUGGGUGAAACUAGGUGGAGGUCCGAACCGACUGAUAUUGAAGAAUCAGCGAAUGAGUUGUGGUUAGGGGUGAAAUGCCACUCGAACCCAAAGCUAGCUGGUUCUCCCCGAAAUGCGUUGAAGCGCAGCAGUUGACUGGACAUCUAGGGGUAAAGCAUUGUUUCGGUGCGGGCCGCGAGAGUGAUACCAAAUUGAGGCAAACUCUGAAUACUAGAUAUGACCUCAAAAUAACAGGGGUCAAGGUCGGCCAGCUCGACGAUAGGGGAUAAGCUUCAUCGUCGAGAGGGAAACAAUUGUUU